rnacentral:rRNA from 1 species
GAUAAACGCUGGCGGCGUGCUUAACACAUGCAAGUCGAACGAAGUUUUUCUUUCGGGAGGAACUUAGUGGCGGACGGGUGAGUAACGCGUGGGUAACCUGCCCUGUACAGGGGGACAACAGCUGGAAACGGCUGCUAAUACCGCAUAAGCCCUUAGCACUGCAUGGUGCAUAGGGAAAAGGAGCAAUCCGGUACAGGAUGGACCCGCGUCUGAUUAGCCAGUUGGCAGGGUAACGGCCUACCAAAGCGAC